GGCAAGAUGGCCGAGCGGUCUAAGGCGCUAGGGUCAGGUUCAUCUGAUCACACAUAUCUGCUCUUCGGGAGCAAAUAUUCCUAGUCACGCAAGUGGCGUGGGUUCGAAUCCCACUCUUGUCA